AUUGAACGCUGGCGGCAGGCCUAACACAUGCAAGUCGAGCGAGCGGCGGGCGGGUGAGUAAUGCCUGGGAGUUGCCCAGUCGAGGGGGAUAACAGGUGGAGACGACUGUUCAUACCGCAUACGAUUGGAUUGCCCAGGUGGGGUUAGCUAGUUGGGGAGGUAAUGGCUCACCAAGGCGACGAUCCCUAGCUGGUCUGGGAGGAUGGGAGGCCACACUGGAACUGAGACACGGUCCAGACUCCUACGGGAGGCAGCAGUGGGGAAUAUUGCACAAUGGGGGAAACCCUGAUGCAGCCAUGCCGCGUGUGUGAAGAAGGCCUUCGGGUUGUAAAGCACUUGCAGCGAGGAGGCGUUACUCACAGAAGAAGCACCGGCUAACUCCGUGCCAGCAGCCGCGGUAAUAC
rnacentral:rRNA from 1 species